AGGAAAAAACCUAAUAAGAAGAAAAUAGGUUUUGGAAUAAAAUAGGAAUUAGGAGAACCUAAAAGAGUCGUAUUUUUGGAGAAGCGGAGCAAAAGAGGCAAAGAUGGGCAGUUAGGAUUUGAGAGAAGAAUUUCUUCGAAGCUAUUGUCGUUUUGCUGGAAAAUCGAGAUACUCAAGAGUAGCUUUGACUGAAGUAAGUGGAAGGAUAACUCUUGAAGUGACUUUCGUAGCUUAUCGCGUUUAUUUAGUGGUUCCUUGCUCUGAUCAUGUAACAUCGGGUUGGGAUAAACGCUUGAUUUGAUUUUUCUAUUAUCAUUAUUGUCGACGCCACAAACUUUGGUGUUGUCGUAAUGUUAAGUGUUGAUUUAGUUGCCAUACUUUAAUUUCACCAUUAAUUUGAGAUUCAAGAGGCUUAAUGCCUUGAGUUAUAAUAC